GACGAACGCUGGCGGCGUGCUUAACACAUGCAAGUCGAACGGAAAGGCCCUGCUUUUGUGGGGUGCUCGAUUGCCGAACGGGUGAGUAACACGUGAGUAACCUGCCCUUGACUUUGGGAUAACUUCAGGAAACUGGGGCUAAUACCGGAUAGGAGCUCCUGCUGCAUGUUGGGGGUUGGAAAGUUUCGGCGGUUGGGGAUGGACUCGCGGCUUAUCAGCUUGUUGGUGGGGUAGUGGCUUACCAAGGCUUUGACGGGUAGCCGGCCUGAGAGGGUGACCGGCCACAUUGGGACUGAGAUACGGCCCAGACUCCUACGGGAGGCAGCAGUGGGGAAUAUUGCACAAUGGGCGGAAGCCUGAUGCAGCAACGCCGCGUGCGGGAUGACGGCCUUCGGGUUGUAAACCGCUUUCGCCUGUGACGAAGCGUGAGUGACGGUAAUGGGUAAAGAAGCACCGGCUAACUACGUG
rnacentral:rRNA from 1 species